GGAGACAGUGGCUCAGGAGGUAGAGCAGUCGACUGAGGUAGACAGGUCGGAAGGUCCCUGGUUCGAAUCUGGCUCCUCCU